rnacentral:rRNA from 1 species
CUGGCUCAGGAUGAACGCUGGCGGCGUGCUUAACACAUGCAAGUCGAACGAUGAAGCCCAGCUUGCUGGGUGGAUUAGUGGCGAACGGGUGAGUAACACGUGAGUAACCUGCCCUUAACUCUGGGAUAAGCCUGGGAAACUGGGUCUAAUACCGGAUAGGAGCGUCCACCGCAUGGUGGGUGUUGGAAAGAUUUAUCGGUUUUGGAUGGACUCGCGGCCUAUCAGCUUGUUGGUGAGGUAAUGGCUCACCAAGGCGACGACGGGUAGCCGGCCUGAGAGGGUGACCGGCCACACUGGGACUGAGACACGGCCCAGACUCCUACGGGAGGCAGCAGUGGGGAAUAUUGCACAAUGGGCGCAAGCCUGAUGCAGCGACGCCGCGUGAGGGAUGACGGCCUUCGGGUUGUAAACCUCUUUCAGUAGGGAAGAAGCGAAAGUGACGGUACCUGCAGAAGAAGCACCGGCUAACUACGUGCCAGCAGCCGCGGUAAUACGUAGGGUGCGAGCGUUAUCCGGAAUUAUUGGGCGUAAAGAGCUCGUAGGCGGUUUGUCGCGUCUGUCGUGAAAGUCCGGGGCUUAACCCCGGAUCUGCGGUGGGUACGGGCAGACUAGAGUGCAGUAGGGGAGACUGGAAUUCCUGGUGUAGCGGUGGAAUGCGCAGAUAUCAGGAGGAACACCGAUGGCGAAGGCAGGUCUCUGGGCUGUAACUGACGCUGAGGAGCGAAAGCAUGGGGAGCGAACAGGAUUAGAUACCCUGGUAGUCCAUGCCGUAAACGUUGGGCACUAGGUGUGGGGACCAUUCCACGGUUUCCGCGCCGCAGCUAACGCAU